UCUAAAAAGUAAAGUUAGCACAAUAGCUUUACUUGAUGUUCCAGAAAGGGACACAUUCACUGACAGUUGGCCCCCAAAAUUUGCAAUGAGCUGAAAAUGAAAAAAUUCUGUUGUAUCCUAUAUUGUUCUCACUAUGCUGAUGAUUUGUAGUGAGUUGGGUAUUUAAAUAUAAUGUAGAGUAAUAUUUUCAUCAGAGUUGCCGUAUUGCCAACCCAAGUGUUCAAAAUCAUGAACCUGGCUUAAAAAUCGUAAGAUUUUUAAAAAUAAGAAGCCAGGGGUCCUUUUUUUUUGCUAGCUCCUUUUUCAGCUUUUAGGGUUUUCAAUCUUUUCUCUGCAAGCAGGAGGGCAAAACUCCUCCUUUUUUCAAAACUGAAAGCUGAAAUUCUAACUUAAUUACAGGAUUCCAGUAGCAGAGUCUACAUGUAAAAAAAAAUAUUAUUAACUUUAUGAUUCAACCAUGAGAGCUGACAACACUGCGACGUAAAGGUAUCUUGGGCACUUCAGACUGCAAGUUUUCCACAAAGUUAACUGGAGCAACACUAAGGUGUACCCUACCAUCCAUUUCUCCUGGCUGGCUUGCAUAAGCAGGAUGCCUUUGAAAUCCAUCACAUUGCCAGUACCCUAUCCUUUCACCACAUCCUCCUUUGCAUGGCUCAGAAAAGUCUACAUUUUCUGUGGAAAGCAGACACUUUCUAUCAAGAUGUUCAUUUACCUGAAAACCUUUUUUGGAUGGAAAAUUUUUGACCAGCCCUAGUGCAGACAUUUGUGUGAGAAGCUGACAAACUGGCAGAUGAGGCUGGCAUCGUUGGGGGAGUCAGAGUCAGAGCAAUGUGAUAGAAGAUGAGCGGCUGAGAAGCAUCAAAGAUGACAUCUCCCUUUCUGAAAGGACAUCGGGGUUAAAAUGCACAUGUGAUCUCCCAAGUAAAAAUGAGUAUUUUGUGAACUAUAAGCAAAUGUUUAAUUGGCUCCUGCAAAGGUAAGUAUGCACCAGGGGAAGACAUUGAUUUCUUUAGGUAAAAGGAAUGAGUUUUAGGAAAGAUCUAGACCCAGAUUCUCCUAGUCUAUGGGAAAAAGGAAUGUGAUACAUUAUGCUAGUCCUAUAUUUUAGUAGCCAAGUAUUUGUUUUGGCACGGGAGGAGGCAUUUGUCUUUCAAUUUUGGGAUGCUUGUCCAACUCAAACUAAUGUCCUAAGAUGCUGGUGAACAUAAUCUAGAUCUGAGAGAAACACUUUUGUCCAUAAAAUCAAACCAAUAACCAGGUGAAAAAAAAAUCUUUUGGCUGCCAUAGUUUUACUUUUCCAUGCUUUGACUCAGUCUUUACAUUUCCACUAUCCACAACUCUGGCAUCAUUGUUUAUCUUGAAUUUUCCUUCUCUUCUUAUGUUUCUUAUGACUGCAAAUCCACCUCACUACCAUUAUGAUACUAACAAUGGGUGCCACUGCUUCAACUCCAGCUCUGCUCAAAUCUGCAUCUGUGUGUUCCCGACCUCUCAUAUUGACUAUUGCAUUUCAUUUUUCUAUUCACUCUCCUAAUUCCAGCUCUGGACUCUAGCAUGUACAAAACACCACUGCAACUUUUCUCACGGGUGUAAUGCAACACAACAGUGCCUCCUUUUUCCAAACAGCUCCACUGGCUUCCCAUUCACUUCAUGACCCAAUUCAAAAUUAUUCUCUUUGGCUCAGAUUGUCAGCUGGUAUAAAUCAGCAUAGGUCCAUUGCCAUCAGUGGAUAUAAACUGAUUUGCCACAGGUGGAUUUCUGUCCCUUUAGUUUCAAAUUUUCUGUGCAAGUUGCAUUCAAGCCUUUAAAAUAGGGCCUAAGUGAGAAUUCUGUUUGCACAGGCCUUGUUUUAGCCUUCUGCACAGGGACGAAUUUCACCUGCAAGGCAGAGGCAUGUGCUGGCUUUACUCUGUUUCGUUUAAUGUUUAGAAUUUAGUGUUUAAAUUAGGCUAUUCAUGUCACCUCAUUAAUAAGAAAUGCUGGGAAGAAAUGGAAACCAUAAAACUACAAAGCUAGGCCAUGGUCCUGCAAAGUUACAUGCAUGCUUAACUUUAUGCACUUUGAAUAAUCCCUUGAAAUCACUGAGACUACUCACAGAGCAUAAAGUUAAGCAUGUGCUUAAGUCUGCUGAGUCGGGGCCCUAUAUUUUGUAUUAAGUAUGCACUUAUUCAUUUUAUUUUGUGGCUCAGUUCAGCAAAACAAUCCCAGUUUAUUCAUAAUGACAAGUUAAUUGAGACCACCUACAAUGACACCAACAAAUAUUCAAUAGUUUUUGUUUUGUAGAGUUUCCAUAUAUAUUUUCUCACAUGUUGUCACAGCACCUAAAGUACACGCAGACAGUAGGUUUUGUUAAUAUUGCACAGCAACUGGGUGGGUUCGACUGGCGCACAUUUCCCCGCUUUUUAUUUUACAAACAUGUUUUCUGCAUCUGAAGAUAGAGUGUGAUUUUUUUCUAUGUAUAUAAUUUAUUUCUCUUCGAAGAGUCCCCUCUGAUCGGAAGUUAUUCUUGCCUCUAUCUACAUGAGAGCACAUAUAUGUACACCUGCACAAAAGAGAGCACGUGAAAGAGGACCUAAAAUUUUUUAAAGCGACCUGUGAUUUUAGUUGCUUCAGUUUUUGAGUGCUCAACCUGAGACACUUUUAAAGGGCCUGAAUUUCAGAGGCAGCUUUUCUCACGCACAUAGAAGAUGUGUGCUCAGCACUUUCUUCAACAAAAUCUGCCUAUAAUUUUUUUGUUAGUGGGCUUUUUUAUGGAUUGUUUCAAAAGUAGAAGGAAUGAGUUACCUGGGUGCUGGUGACAUACAGUAGUGACUAUAAAAUAUUUAAGCAAACACAAAAUAGCAUAUGAUUUAAAGAUGGAGAAAUGGCUUAUUUUCAUAGGCCAGGGCUCUAAUUUACACAUCCAUCCUUUACCCAUAGACUAUGAUAAGUGCCUUACUUGCACCCCUGCACCCCUCUUUUUUGGUGAUUUUUUUCAUCAGCACCAUCAGCAUAUUAAGUGUUGCCGCAAGUCAAUGGGCCAGCUCUUCAGCUGGUGUAAAUCAACAUCAUUCUAUUGAGGUGAACAGAGCUAUGCUAAUUUAUACCAGUGGAGGAUCCCACCUAAUCAUUCAUUGUGGUGUGGUUAUAAGACCAGUGCAGAGCUGUUUAUGGGAUAACACUUGCUGGUACAGGGCAGCUAAGUAUAACAUAACUUGAUUUUUAUGAUACAUGCUAAGUCUCAAAAUGUGCUGGUAAGAAGGUCAUUUUAUUGACUCACUAGUCAGAGAUGACCCAUAAAAAAUAACAAUACUUUUCUUUUGAUGCUAUUUCUUUAUUUUUUUGUUGAAUAAAACUGCACAAAGAUGAAGCGACUGCCUUGCUUCCCAAGGGGAAAAAGAAUACCUGAAGGGAGUGAGAACUUACAUACUAGCUAGAUGAAAAAGGGCACUCUGCCCCUUUGAGAGAAGAAGAAGAAAUUGCACAUCAGAAAUGUAAGUGUUCUCCACUGACCUAUGACUCCAGUCUAGUUGUAGUGACUAAGUGAGUGACUGAAAUGCGUGUCUCUCUCCCUUACUGUGAGAGGUACAAGAGUUGCUGCCUGUCCUGAAGGAAAGCAUACAAUUGUAGCUGAUGCUGUAAGGAAGGAGAGAGCAGUGAAAAGGAACGCUAUAGUCUAGCUGUGGUGGGUUGUGAUUCUUCCUGUGAAUGAGGUUUCCAGUCAAGAGAAAAAGCAUACAGAAGACUGUCGAAUCUUAGGUGUGGGUUCUCUCAUCUCCCAUGGAAAAUCAGACAGAAUGGAAGAGAGCCUGGAUCUUAGCUUCCCACCUUCCUCCAAUUGUUCUUCCCCACUCUUAUGUAUGCAGAAUAUACUUUAAUGAAUUUAAAAAUAACUGUGAUAAAAUAAAGAUGGAAUUGACUAUUA